rnacentral:rRNA from 1 species
UUCUUUGGAGAGUUUGAUCCUGGCUCAGGACGAACGCUGGCGGCGUGCCUAAUACAUGCAAGUCGAGCGCAGGAAAUCGACGGAACCCUUCGGGGGGAAGUCGACGG